GGCAAGAGCCGCUACCUCCGGCCGCUCGUUGGCUGGAUCGCUCGUCACUCCGGCCUGUCCACCAAAUGGGGCGCCAGCUAGAGGCACUCUGGGAACGACGUUGACGCGAGGGGUGUCACCGAAGGGAGGGGCUCGCCAGCCUAAGCCAGGAGACCUGUCAGAGUCCGGGACUGCGCCAUUCGACUGCGGCACGACUCGUCUGUCCCCUGCCUGCUUCUAGGCCGAGACGAGACCCCCGAACAGGCCUUGUCGCCUAGGCCCUGGGCCUGUUUCCGCUGCCGCGGCUUCCUGCGUGUGGCCUCCGUGGCCCCGCCCCUGCCGCACCUCCGCCUCCGCAGCCACUGCAGUCCCUGCCGCUGCGGGUCCCCUGCCACCGCCACAGCCACCGCCGCCGCCGCCGCCGCCGCCGCCCCCGCCGCCUGAGCUGCCCGGGCCUUCGCAUUCGCCUUCAGAGCAUCCAUCAUAAUUCUUCAACUUGAAGAUACCAAUGGACAUACUGGAGAGGACUGGGACAGGAGAAAGAGGAGAUCAUGAAGGAAGAAGGGGAAAGUGGAAGUAGAUAAGGGAAAGAAAAAAGGGUGACAGCAUUUUUGAGCCAUAUAUCACAGCUGGUCCCAAGAGAUGAGAAUGAUGCUAAACUGGAGAGAAUACAGCUCUAGGAUGAGAAUAAAGGAAAGGCGGCUAGCUGAGAUCCUCACCCAAACAUUUAGGAGGUCCAUGAGGAGUUUUCAAUUUCUCAAGAGGACUUUCAACAUCUGACAUCAGUGCAUGAUAGAAUUUGGCAGAAGCAGAUUGCCAUUUCUCGGACUACAACUUCAGCAAAAUCACGUCAUUAGGAGACCAGAGGAAAACAGAAUUUUUGACUCUACCAAGAAUAAGAAAGAAUAUCUUCUGCCUGACAUUUUCAAGUUAGACAUCAGCAUUUUCCUGCCUUCACAUUGGAGCUCAAACAUUGGCUUUUCUUUUUAUUUAGCCUGCCAGAAUUUUGACAUGAGUUAUAUCAUUUUUUCUUUUGCUUUUCCAGCAAAAUUAAAAAACUUUAAGGGAAUGGACAAUUUUCUGUAUAGCUAUCACUUGCCAAAAUUAAAUCAAGAACAUAUAAGCAAUUUAAAUAGACCUAUAAUUCCUAUGGAAAUAGAAGCAGUCAUCAAAAUUAUCCCAACCACAAAAAAGCCCAGGUGAAGCUGGCCUCAGUGCAGAAAUCUAACAGAAAUUCAAAGAGCAGCUUAUACUAAUUCUUCUCAAAGUAUUCCAUGCAAUA